CAGUCGCCGCGGUAAUACGGAGGGUGCAAGCGUUAAUCGGAAUUACUGGGCAUAAAGCGCACGCAGGCGGUCUGUCAAGUCAGAUGUGAAAUCCCCGGGCUUAACCUGGGAACUGCAUUUGAAACUGGCAGGCUAGAGUCUUGUAGAGGGGGGUAGAAUUCCAGGUGUAGCGGUGAAAUGCGUAGAGAUCUGGAGGAAUACCGGUGGCGAAGGCGGCCCCCUGGACAAAGACUGACGCUCAGGUGCGAAAGCGUGGGGAGCAAACAGGAUUAGAGACCCGAGUAGUCCCUGUCUCUUAUAA
rnacentral:rRNA from 1 species